GCUAAGAGAGGGAGAAAAGGUAAAUCGAUUUUGUUCACGGAACCAACCCUGUUGCCCUUCACCAGGGCUGGAACAGGAAGAUAGGAAUUGACCGGGGUGGCAGUUGAUUCUUACUUCAACACUGAUGAUGGGACAGCAUCUUCCACCACACCUGAGGACAGGAAGCUAACUUAGAAGACCUGCUCUACAGCCUGCCCUGAGCUCCCUAUCACCUCAUCCCCGACCCCCAGCAUCUAACGCUUGAGGCAGCCCCUUUACUCUACCUAAUGGUAGGGCUGGCCCUGAACACUUAGAUGAUAGCUUGUAUCCUGUUCUGUUGGGGCUUGGGGUCCUCAGGGGAAGUGGUAAUGAAUACUUCAUCUACCAGGUCAGUCAGGACCCUGAGGAGCUCCUAGAAGGCCCUGCUUGCUGAGUUUGGGAAGAUGUUUCAGCAAAUGUGUAGAGUCAUCUGAAGCCUUUAAAAAGGCUUGAACUUCCCGUGGCUCUGCACCUCUGGGACAGGUGUACCUGUUUUGCAGUCAUAUGCUCCUGUGUGGUUGUGGAACAGGAGACGUUAUCAUCUUCAGACUCCGAGGAUUAUGAGUCAUGUCCUCAAGCUGGGGCAGUGUAUAAGAGUGUGCUGAGGGUUCCCCUCUGAGUGAAGAUUCUUAUCUGAAUCUGAGUCCUUCUGAGGGACUCUGAGGUGGGGGACAUGACAGCUUGGUGGAUUUGUACUACAUCUUGGGUUGAGGAUGGAGGCAUUUUUCUACUUAUAUGAGGAAUGCAACCAACUCACUAGAUUAGAUUAUUUAUUUGUUUGUUUGUUCCCUUAACCAUCUUUCAUUAAAAAAUUCCAAGGUGUUGUACAACA